rnacentral:ncRNA from 1 species
AAGAUUUCAGUGAAAGAAAGAGUACAUUACUUUUUAAUGAUAUAGAAAGCGCUAGUUGAUGAGAAAGCGUCAUUAAAAGUAUUGGAAAGUAGUUCUGGAGAGAAUCAGUGGUUUGGAUAAUGAAGCAUUGAUCGGUCACGACCGUUAUAUCGUAUGGCUAUCGGCAUUGCGCCCGUAGUUAAGAUAGAGAUAGCUAGUUUAGUUUUGCUAGUUAAACGACGGUGGUACCGCGAGAAUUCGCCCGUUAA